rnacentral:tRNA from 1 species
CGGGCUGUGGCGCAGACUGGUAGCGCGUUCCCUUGGGGUGGGAGAGGUCGGCGGUUCAAAUCCGCUCAGCCCGACCA